GCAGCGCUGGAGGGAUCCUGGGGCACUAUAGCCCCUCAAAUUCACCUUAACCCCUGUGACAGGGAACCCUAAACCUGUCACGAGGAAGAAGGUGCGCCCCUACAAGGCCAGAACCUUCUGGGCACAGAGGGCUGGGGAGGAAGGGGUUAACUGCUGAACUGGGACGGAUAGUCAGCAGAAGAGGCAGGACUAUAGAAACCCUGGGUUGAAUGGCGGUAAGGGGGAAGGAGUGCAUUGCAGAGCUCCAGUGAGAAGCUUGGUGGGAAGUCCAAAGCCAGGAAGAGGGGAACUAUAGAAGCCCUGGUGAGACGACAGCUGCACUGCAGCAAGGACUGGAGCUGAUACACGAACCCUGCAACUGUGGAGUCACACCCGGGUUUUGAACUUGUGACCCCUUUUGGCUGUGGGGCCAGCAUACAUGCCUCUGGGCCACUGGGUGCUGUGCCUCAGAAGGGAGCAGAAGAGGGGGCCAAGAGCCUCCAGGCACUGGAAGGAAGAGCUAGAGCCUUGGAGUCUAACCCUGUUUGGUGGGUUUGGAUGGAGAGGCCUAGCUAGAGAAAAAAAGGGGUCAGACCAUCAUAGGAGAGACCCCAACAUACCUAAUAUAAUCAGCAGUCUCCCGCUCACAUACUAAUUCCAUCAAGACGUGGCAGACGAGAUUAGAGCGGGACAGCAGAGGCCCAAGAGGACUCCAAGGGCACCCCACGGUAAUAGCUAUAUGGCAAGAUUGUGAGUGGCUCUAAAACCAACAGAUUAGCAUAAGAUAAGGCAUAAAGGAACACACAUGUCAAGUAACCAGUUUGAAGGAUGGGACAGAAGGACCAUCGCUGUACCAAGCCUGGCCCCUGGACUCCCACUGUAAGCGAGGACCGGAUCCUGACCAAGGGAUCUUCCCAGUGACCCCUCAGACAACGUUGAUCAGGGACGCCUGACUUCUCUGGAACAACUUGGUGUGCACCUGGCACAGAGGGACUGCUAAUAAGUUGCCAACCCCAUGUGGGAACUCUUUGUCGUUCUGUCUAUCUGUUGUUAUUAUUCACUAUUAGCUCUUUAUUAUUGUACUAUUUGUUUGUCGCAUUAACCUUUCCGUUAACUGUUGUAUGCUAACCUAUAAGUAAA